UGGACCAAUGGUGAUGCAGUGGAGUAUGAGUCAUGGAUGAUGGAUACUUGUGUAGAACUCUGAGGUCCAA